rnacentral:rRNA from 1 species
GGUGAACGCUGGCGGCGUGCAUUAGGCAUGCAAGUAGAACGAGAUAGCUUCGGCUAUCUAGUUGCGAACGGCUGAGUAACACGUAGGAAUCUACCUUUUGGUGGGGAAUACCCAUGGGAAACCAUGGCUAAUACCGCAUAAGAUCUCCGGAUGAAAGGGCUUAACUGCCCGCCGAAAGAGGAGCCUGCGUACCAUCAGUUUGUUGGUAGGGUAACGGCCUACCAAGACUACGACGGUUAGGGGGUGUGAGAGCAUGGCCCCCCAGAGAGGCACUGAGACACGGGCCUCACAUCUACGGAUGGCAGCAACCGGGAAUCGUGCGCAAUGGACGAAAGUCUGACGCCGCGACGCCGCGUGUGGGAUGAAGGUCUUCGGAUUGUAAACCACUUUUGUUUGAGUCGAGAGACUCUUAAGAAUAAGCGCCCGCUAACUACGUGCCAGCAGCUGCGGUAAUACGUAGGGCGCAAGCGUUGCCCGGAUUUAUUGGGCGUAAAGGGUUCCGUAGGCGUCUUGGCAAGUUAUUCUUCAAAUACUGGGGCUCAACCUCAGGCAGGGGAGUAAUACUGCCAGGAUUGAAAUAUUUCGGGGCUACUAGAACUAUCGGUGUAGGGGUGAAAUCCGUUGAUAUCGAUAGGAAUUCCAAGUGCGAAGGCGGGUAGCUAGGAAUAAUUUGACGCUGAUGGACGAAAGCUAGGGUAGCGAAAGGGAUUAGAGACCCCUGUAGUCCUAGCCGUAAACGAUGCUCGCUAGCUCUCCGGUUCCUCGUUCGCGAGGUGCUGGUGGGCGUAAGCUAACGCGUGAAGCGAGCCGCCUGGGGAGUACGAACGCAAGUUUAAAACUCAAAGGAAUUGACGGGGACCUGCACAACCAGUGGAGCAUGUGGUUUAAUUCGAAACGAACCGAAGAACCUUACCCGGGUUUGACAUUCUACUCUUAAUGCUUCUUAGAGAUAGGAUAGAAAUUCAAAUUUAUUUGAAUGGGGUAGAACAGGUGUUGCAUGGCCGUCGUCAGCUCGUGCCGUGGGGUGUUCCCUUAAUUGGGGCAACAAGGG